rnacentral:rRNA from 1 species
UGGUAGUGGGGCACAACGUUUCGAAAGGAACGCUAAUACGGCAUACGUCCUACGGGAGAAAGCAGGGGACCUUCGGGCCUUGCGCUAUCAGAUGAGCGUAGGUCGGAUUAGCUAGUUGGUGAGGUAAUGGCUCACCAAGGCGCCGAUCCGUAACUGGUCUGAGAGGAUGAUCAGUCACACCGGAACUGAGUCACGGUCCAGACUCCUACGGGAGGCAGCAGUGGGGAAUAUUGGACAAUGGGCGAAAGCCUGAUCCAGCCAUGCCGCGUGUGUGAAGAAGGUCUUCGGAUUGUAAAGCACUUUAAGUUGGGAGGAAGGGCAUUAACCUAAUACGUUAGUGUUUUGACGUUACCAACAGAAUAAGCACCGGCUAACUCUGUGCCAGCAGCCGCGGUAAUACAGAGGGUGCAAGCGUUAAUCGGAAUUACUGGGCGUAAAGCGCGCGUAGGUGGUUUGUUAAGUUGGAUGUGAAAUCCCCGGGCUCAACCUGGGAACUGCAUCCAAAACUGGCAAGCUAGAGUAGGGCAGAGGGUGGUGGAAUUUCCUGUGUAGCGGUGAAAUGCGUAGAUAUAGGAAGGAACACCUGUGGCGAAGGCGACCACCUGGGCUCAUACUGACACUGAGGUGCGAAAGCG